rnacentral:rRNA from 1 species
GAAGCAACGCGAAGAACCUUACCAGGUCUUGACAUCCUCUGACAAUCCUAGAGAUAGGACGUCCCCUUCGGGGGCAGAGUGACAGGUGGUGCAUGGUUGUCGUCAGCUCGUGUCGUGAGAUGUUGGGUUAAGUCCCGCAACGAGCGCAACCCUUGAUCUUAGUUGCCAGCAUUCAGUUGGGCACUCUAAGGUGACUGCCGGUGACAAACCGGAGGAAGGUGGGGAUGACGUCAAAUCAUCAUGCCCCUUAUGACCUGGGCUACACACGUGCUACAAUGGACAGAACAAAGGGCAGCGAAACCGCGAGGUUAAGCCAAUCCCACAAAUCUGUUCUCAGUUCGGAUCGCAGUCUGCAACUCGACUGCGUGAAGCUGGAAUCGCUAGUAAUCGCGGAUCAGCAUGCCGCGGUGAAUACGUUCCCGGGCCUUGUACACACCGCCCGUCACACCACGAGAGUUUGUAACACCCGAAGUCGGUGAGGUAACCUUUUAGGAGCCAGCCGCCGAAGGUGGGACAGAUGAUUGGGGUGAAGUCGUAACAAGGUAGCCGA